rnacentral:rRNA from 1 species
GACGAACGCUGGCGGCGUGCUUAACACAUGCAAGUCGAACGAUGACGACUGAGCUUGCUCGGUCUGAUUAGUGGCGAACGGGUGAGUAACACGUGAGCAACCUGCCCUUCACUCUGGGAUAACCUCGGGAAAUCGGGGCUAAUACCGGAUAUGAGCUCCUGUCGCAUGGCGGGUGUUGGAAAGUUUUUCGGUGAAGGAUGGGCUCGCGGCCUAUCAGUUUGUUGGUGAGGUAGUGGCUCACCAAGGCGAUGACGGGUAGCCGGCCUGAGAGGGCGACCGGCCACACUGGGACUGAGACACGGCCCAGACUCCUACGGGAGGCAGCAGUGGGGAAUAUUGCACAAUGGGCGAAAGCCUGAUGCAGCGACGCCGCGUGAGGGAUGACGGCCUUCGGGUUGUAAACCUCUUUCAGCAGGGAAGAAGCGAAAGUGACGGUACCUGCAGAAGAAGCGCCGGCUAACUACGUG